UAGAAGUGAAAAUUUGAGAGGAGAAUAAAAUUGGUGGAAUUUCUGUUGAAAAAGCCAAAUUUUGGCUGUAAAUAGUGUAACAAUGAUGAAGAACCAACCAGGGCCUGGAUUCAAUGGCCCAAACGUAGCGCGAGUUCGAUUGCGCUAGGAAAAUUUAUGGUGGAAAAUUUCGGGUAGGGUGAAGGAGCUUCUGCAGAAAAUUUCUUCCCGUGUGAAUCGUAGUGUAAAAAAUUGUAUCACCAGGCCACCUGCUUCAGAUGUGGAUCAGAAUGCGAAGGAAAAAGUGCUAACCAAAACCAAGUCAUCCUGGAACAAAAAUUUGUGUGAAUUCAACUUCCUGGAUUUGAUCCAUACUCUUAUCGAAUUCGUGCAAAAUGAUUGCAGGCUGGCAUACUGGGCGAGCAUAAGUGAACGACCGUGGGCUGAGAAAAGCUACCCUGGUGGCAGAGGCCAAGGUAAAUGGAAAAGAAAAAUUGAUUGAACCCACACUCUUCGCGGUCGCGUUAAGUGAAAAUUGUGAAAACCGUCGAUACGAGAAAUUGUUAGCAAUUGUUUUGUGACUGGAAAAUAGUGAAAACGUACAAAUCCAAUGAAUGCGCAACCGUUACCCAUGUGGAAAUAUGCGCAAAUGUGGUAUGUUUUGCUGAAUGGAACAGCAAGAGGAGAACACAUAACCAUCAAGCGUAAGCCAUGACAGCCUAGAAGAAUAUCGUUUGGUGGUCGAAAGAGUAGUGCACACUUAAAGAUAAGCUGUCAUCGUCCCCAUUCCUAGUGCUCUACUUCAGUUCCGAAGAAUCUUUACACACCCAAGUACCACCGAUUCAUGCUGUGAAAAUCAUUCGCCAAAAUAAUUUGAAAAAAUACCGAAGAAUAAAUAUUUGCUUGAGAAUUGUGUCCUCUAUAUUAAAUGGUAAUCAGUGGCAGAAAUGUUGGUAUAUCCUGAUAUCCACAACCCAAUGUGACAAAGAAGAAAAAUUACUCAAAUCACAUAAACUAAUAAUGCUGUUACGACUGCUAGAAACUUAAAGCAUAGACUUUAAAAUAACUCAGCCUGUUGAGAAGCGCACUGGCACAUCUGCGUACUUCUGCUGUAGUUCAUUAUCCGAUCAAUUAAAGACGUACAACUCGUCGUUGCCACAAACAUCCGUCAACAAACUGACACAACAGUUAAGCAUCGCCAAAUAAUACUUAAUAAACGAGCUUCACUGAUUAGUGCUAAACAAUUCGGUGCAGCGCUACAUCAUAAACACAAAACGUAACUUGUAUGACGUACGUAUGGUCGAAAAUACCUACUCCAUUAACACUUGUGCAGCCAUGGGUAGUCCAUACUACAGAGACAUGGAUGAACCCAUCAGCCCGGCUGGGGGUGGCCAUCACCGAAGCCGAAGUGCAACGCGCGCACCGACGCACACGAUGGAAUACCCUCGAGAGCA